rnacentral:misc_RNA from 1 species
CUGAUUUGCUUAAUUGCACCACAUGUGUUUUUCUUUGAAACAAACUUGCUUUGGCGGUGGGCCCAGCCUGCCGCCAGAGGUCUAAACUUACAACCAAUUUUUUAUCAACUUGUCACACCAGAUUAUUACUAAUAGUCAAAACUUUCAACAACGGAUCUCUUGGUUCUCGCAUCGAUGAAGAACGCAGCGAAAUGCGAUACGUAAUAUGAAUUGCAGAUAUUCGUGAAUCAUCGAAUCUUUGAACGCACAUUGCGCCCUCUGGUAUUCCGGAGGGCAUGCCUGUUUGAGCGUCGUUUCUCCCUCAAACCGCUGGGUUUGGUGUUGAGCAAUACGACUUGGGUUUGCUUGAAAGACGGUAGUGGUAAGGCGGGAUCGCUUUGACAAUGGCUUAGGUCUAACCAAAAACAUUGCUUGCGGCGGUAACGUCCACCACGUAUAUCUUCAAACUUUGACCUCAUAUCAGGUAUCA